rnacentral:tRNA from 1 species
UUCAAUAUAGCAAAAAUAAUUAUGCAUUAAAUUUAGAUUUUAAAAAUGAGUUACUCUAUUGAAA